rnacentral:rRNA from 1 species
AGCGUCCCAGUUCGGAUUGUAGUCUGCAACUCGACUACAUGAAGCCGGAAUCGCUAGUAAUCGCGGAUCAGAAUGCCGCGGUGAAUACGUUCCCGGGUCUUGUACACACCGCCCGUCACACCAUGGGAGCCGGAAAUGCCCGAAGUCAGUGACCCAACCGCGAGGAGGGAGCUGCCGAAGGCAGGUCUGGUAACUGGGGUGAAGUCGUAACAAGGUAAC